AUGAUUUCCAUGGAUCAAGCUACUUGUUCUAAAUCAUUACUGUUACUCUUCUUUCACUUACCAUUUCCCUAUCACACAACUUCUGAGAGGGAGAAGAAAAAGAAAACAUUAGAAGAUGCCGAUUUCUGUAUUUGGAGGAGACUUUCCUUUGAAGCAAAUGUGCAGAGAAAGAAAGGUGCUUGUGUUGAAAAGUGCGGAGGAAACGUUGCUGAAUUCUAAGAUCAUUUUAAGCACAGACUGCAUGCAAUGGCUGGACAAAGAAGAAGAACAUGAUCUUCUAAGCAAAACGAAGCCAAAAUUUGAUUGAUAUCCCAGGACAACCAGCACGUCAUUCCAGCAAAUGAAUGUCCUUUGAUCUCAAUAUGCAUAUAGAUCAUGAGCCACUUAAUUGGAUGAUAUGGUUUCUUGGUCGACCGAAGUAAAUUGAGUUGGACGAUGUAUAUGCAUGCAUGCAUCAAUGUGUAGCCUAUGAAGAUAUGCAUC